UACGAAGGGGGCUAGCGUUGCUCGGAAUGACUGGGCGUAAAGGGCGCGUAGGCGGCUCAUACAGUCAGGCGUGAAAUUCCUGGGCUCAACCUGGGGACUGCGCUUGAGACGUGUGGGCUUGAGUGGGGAAGAGGGUCGUGGAAUUCCCGGUGUAGCGGUGAAAUGCGCAGAUAUCGGGAAGAACACCCGUGGCGAAGGCGGUUCUCUGGGACGGUACUGACGCUGAGACGCGAAAGCGUGGGGAGCGAACAGG
rnacentral:rRNA from 1 species